rnacentral:rRNA from 1 species
UACGUAGGGUGCAAGCGUUGUCCGGAAUUAUUGGGCGUAAAGAGCUCGUAGGCGGUUUGUCGCGUCUGCUGUGAAAUCCCGAGGCUCAACCUCGGGUCUGCAGUGGGUACGGGCAGACUAGAGUGUGGUAGGGGGAGAUUGGAAUUCCUGGUGUAGCGGUGGAAUGCGCAGAUAUCAGGAGGAACACCGAUGGCGAAGGCAGAUCUCUGGGCCAUUACUGACGCUGAGGAGCGAAAGCAUGGGGGAGCGAACAGG